rnacentral:tRNA from 1 species
UAGAUUAAAGUCCGCCGGUUUUGACAGCUAGCUGUUAAUUAGUUUUUGUGGGAUCGAGGCCCACUGAUCUAG